rnacentral:rRNA from 1 species
CAGUCGCCGCGGGAAUACGAAGGGGGCUAGCGUUGUUCGGAAUCACUGGGCGUAAAGGGUGCGUAGGCGGGAUCUUAAGUCAGGGGUGAAAUCCCGAGGCUCAACCUCGGAACUGCCUUUGAUACUGGGAGGCUUGAGUAUGGAAGAGGGUCGUGGAAUUCCCAGUGUAGAGGUGAAAUUCGUAGAUAUUGGGAAGAACACCGGUGGCGAAGGCGGCGACCUGGUCCAUAACUGACACUGAGGCGCGAAAGCGUGGGGAGCAAACAGGAUUAGAUACCCCUGUAGUCCCUGUCUCUUAUAC